rnacentral:misc_RNA from 1 species
UUUUUUUAUUUUUAUUUUUUUUUCAUUCCUCCUUUUCGGGGUUUGACAUUGUGAUUUAGAAUUGCUUAUUAUUUAUUUUGGUGUUGAACGAAAUGAAUUUCCCUUGUUCAUCAAAUUGAAACUUGUUUUUUUGCUCCAAAUGAUUGAUGUUUUCUUUGCGGAGAAUGUUUGGUUAAUGGUAACAAAUGCAAAUAUAUUCAGGGAAAAUUACUCUUUAGUUAUUUAGUUAUUGUAUUUUAAUAAAAUUAAUUGCUUAGUUUUUCUAUUUUAAACAAUACAUAAUUCAGUUGUUUUAUUUUUAGUUUGUGGAUAGUUUAAUCUCUGCUGUAAAAUUUUUUUGUUAGUCAGGUGAGUUGCAGGAGAGAAUAAUUAUAGGUAGGUAUGGAAUAGUUGAUGGAUUUAAAAUUAUUAAGGUUAAACAAUUGUAUUAUUGAAAUCAUAGGGAUUGAAUAGUUGAAUUGAGAAGAAAUAUUUGCUUCGGGAUUGAAUGGUUGAGUUGGGAAGAAAUAUUUGACUCAGGAUUAAAUAAUAUAGGGAUUUAAAAGUAUUUUUUUUCAAAAUAGAUGGAUUAAAUAUUUUAGUAAAGUAUAAGGAUUAAGCAAUGUUUUUUAAAACUUAGAAGAAAAAUAAGUGAUGUUAGUUGAUAAUUGACGGUUUGAUUUAAACAAUUGGUGGUACGUCAAAAUCAAGGCCUUGUGAAUAAGCUCCUCUCUCUUGUUUUAAAAGAACUUUCUCUAUACAAAGUUUCUUCAUCUUGAGGCAUAGGUCUUUUGUUUAUGUCGAGCAGCAGUUGUGGCUCUUCCUUCUCAUUUGGUUGUGGGUUGCUCUCUUUGCCACUAGGUGGGUUGUAGAUAGGUAUUUUGUCCUUCACUGAGAAAGUGCCAUUAUUGAUAUUCUUUUUUAGCUAUAAUGUAUUUUGCUUCAAGUCUACAUGUUUUGAUGUUUGCAGGUACACAAAGGAGGCUAUACAUCAAUGUUGGAGCUCCAUUGCAAAAAAGGGAUGUAAGGAGCUUUUGUUGGGCAACUCGUUAGGCUCCAACACUGACAGAAAGUGUGAGUAGGAUUCUGAAGAGACGUACCACUACCAUUCUCAUAUGGGUUUUAUGAAGAUGCUUCGCUUCUCUUAUUUUGUUAGGCCUGAGUUUUUGUGUUUUCAAUGGGUGAAGGAUCCUGUCCAAGCUUCGCUUUACUGGUCUCGCAUGAUCAAGGCUCUACCGUCCUCAUGAUCUUGGGAUCUUUCUACAGUUGUGCUUUGUGGGUGUUGUUUUGGGGAAGCAUUUGUCUAUGGCUCCCUUGUGCGUUGUAUUGUUUUGGCUUCACAGGAAAGUCUGUUCGUUGGGGGCUAUGUAUCAUCCCUUACGGCAUGCUCUUUCUUUGGCCAAUUUUCUUUUGAGUUGAUUUAGGUUUCUGUGUGUUGUGAGCCUGUUUGGUUUGGGUUGAGA